GGGGGUGUGGCAUAAUGGUUAUGCAAUCAGACUCUCAUGCCUGAGGCUCUGAGGUCCCAGGUUCAAUCCCUUACACCACCA
rnacentral:tRNA from 1 species